rnacentral:rRNA from 1 species
AAACCAACCGGGAUUGCCUCAGUAACGGCGAGUGAAGCGGCAAAAGCUCAAAUUUGAAAUCUGGUACCUUCGGUGCCCGAGUUGUAAUUUGUAGAGGGCGACUUUGGGGCGGCUCCUUGUCUAUGUUCCUUGGAACAGGACGUCAUAGAGGGUGAGAAUCCCGUGUGGCGAGGAGUGCGGUUCCGUGUAAAGCGCUCUCGAAGAGUCGAGUUGUUUGGGAAUGCAGCUCUAAGUGGGUGGUAAAUUCCAUCUAAAGCUAAAUACUGGCGAGAGACCGAUAGCGAACAAGUACAGUGAUGGAAAGAUGAAAAGAACUUUGAAAAGAGAGUGAAAAAGUACGUGAAAUUGUUGAAAGGGAAGGGCAUUUGAUCAGACAUGGUGUUUUGCGCCCCCUGCUCCUCGUGGGCGGGGGACUCUCGCAGCUCACUGGGCCAGCAUCAGUUUUGGCGGCCGGACAAAACUGCAGGAACGUAGCUUGCUUCGGGAAGUGUUACAGCCUGCAGGAAUACGGCCAGCACGGGACUGAGGAAUGCGAUUCGUCAAGGAUGCUGGCAUAAUGGUUAUAUGCCGCCCGUCUUGAACCACGGACCA